rnacentral:rRNA from 1 species
GGUGGGGACGACGUCAAGUCAUCAUGCCCCUUAUGACCUGGGCUACACACGUGCUACAAUGGACGGUACAACGAGUCGCGAGACCGCGAGGUUUAGCUAAUCUCUUAAAGCCGUUCUCAGUUCGGAUUGUAGGCUGCAACUCGCCUACAUGAAGUCGGAAUCGCUAGUAAUCGCGAAUCAGCAUGUCGCGGUGAAUACGUUCCCGGGCCUUGUACACACCGCCCGUCACACCAUGAGAGUUUGUAACACCCAAAGCCGGUGGGGUAACCGCAAGGAGCCAGCCGUCUAAGGUGGGACAGAUGAUUGGGGUGAAGUCGUAACAAGGUAGCCGUAGGAGAACCUGCGGCUGGAUCACCUCCUUUCUAAGGAA